rnacentral:tRNA from 1 species
GGCGGCGUAGCUCAGUUGGCAGAGCAAACGGCUCAUAUCCGUUGUGUCGAGGGUUCAAUCCCCCCCGCCGCUA